GGCCUUUGUUAAGGAGAAUUCACUGUGUGUUUCACAGUGGUUACUCUUCCCUCCCUGUGCCAGAGCCAGGAGAUCUUUUUGGUUCAUCCUGAGAAUCUUGUGGAGUUGCUGGAAGUAAGACUCAGAAGCACAUCGGACCCCUAAGACUGUGACCCCCAGGAGUUUCUCAUUCUCUUAUUAGUUCACAUUCACCUCCAGAAAUUCAUCAAAAUUAUCAUUUUCCUGUUUUUCCCAGUUGUUGAAUCCAGCAGCUUCUGCUUCAGAGCUUAAAGUUUUGGCUUGUGUUACUUCCUUGGGGAGAUCUUGCUGGACCACAUCAGGAAGAGGAGGGGUGUGUCCCCACAGCACUGUGUACACGGAAAUGCAGAUGAUAACUCCUGCCUCCAAGGCCCCUUUCUGAGAUGAUUCUGAGACGACGCAUAUAAAUGGGC